rnacentral:rRNA from 1 species
UACGUAGGGCGCAAGCGUUUGUCCGGAAUUAUUGGGCGUAAAGAGCUCGUAGGCGGCCUGUCGCGUCUGCUGUGAAAUCCCGAGGCUCAACCUCGGGUCUGCAGUCGAUACGGGCAAACUAGAGUAUUGCAGGGGAGACUGGAAUUCCUGGUGUAGCGGUGAAAUGCGUAGAUAUCAGGAGGAACACCGGUGGCGAAGGCGGGUCUCUGGGCAAUAACUGACGCUGAGGAGCGAAAGCGUGGGGAGCGAACAGG